ACGUGGAUGGACAGAGCUGCGUCUUAAUUUUUUUUUUUUUGCAAAUUAGGGAGAAAAAUCAAGACGUAACACCCCACUCCUCCCGUUUUAAACACUGAUUCAGCUCGAAGCUAGGCUGAAGGCUUCAUUGUCAGUCGGCCAGUUGGACAACGUGAAUUUUCUUGGUUACUCCUGUACACUGGGACGGACGCUCCACACGAUCCCUUUCCAGCUUGUUGAGGAAGGAAGAAGUGGCCUUCCAUUACAGACGGACGUAUUAAAUAUAAAUUACACAAGACGAAAGGAUUUGUAUGUGUCUGUAUAGCAAUAAUAUAAGAAUUCAUAUUGCAGAAGAUCAAGAUGUAUUUGGCUAGAAGAUCGUAUGGGACCACUUGGAUUCAGAUGUAUAAUUAAAGAAUCAUUUUAGGUGUAUCGAGAACUGUCUCUAGUGAUGUAAGUUACUGGCUUUGUUUCUUUCUCCUUAGUGGAGUAGGUGAAUCAGAUCAGUGGUCCCCAAACUUGAGUACACGUUAGGAUCACCGAGGGCUUGUUAAACCCACAUUGCUGGACCCCCACCCCAGAAUUUCUGACUCAGUGGGUCUAGGGUGGGCCUGAUGAUCUGCAUUUUUUGCAAGUUUCCAGGAGAUGCGGAAGCUGGUCAGAGGACCGUAUUUUGAGAACCACUGGAUGAGAUAAUUUCUUCUAAAGUUUUAUAAAGUUUUUGUGCCCGUUUUCCCCCAUUUGCAGUGACAGCACCUACUCUUGGAUUUCUACCGCUUGGUGUCAUUUAAAGAUUGCUGUAUGGCAAACUGAGUGGCAAAAGUUUGAAAUGAAUUGAGUUAAUGUAUUUUGAGAGUUUCUUGAGAAUUACAGAUACUUUGCAAAACCUUGGGUCUGUUAAAACCCAGAAUUGGGUAUACCUACCCAACAGUCAAGGUCUCUAGUUACAAUUUAUUGAAAUAUUCCUCAUGUUAUUAAGGGACAGAACUAUUCACUGUUUCUUAAACCCGAAUGUUCUAUCAGAUCUAACCAAGUGCCUUGUUAAUAGGCAGCUCCAGGAUAUGAUAUAGUGUAUUACAUAGUUGGGAGCUCAUUAAAUAAAAUGGUGUUUAUGAGACGUAGUUCCUUUCCU
rnacentral:lncRNA from 1 species